GACGAACGCUGGCGGCGUGCCUAACACAUGCAAGUCGAACGGAACUUCUUUAAAGGAUUUCUUCGGAAUGAUUUUGAUUAAGUUUAGUGGCGGACGGGUGAGUAACGCGUGAGUAACCUGCCUCUGAGAGGGGAAUAACAUUCUGAAAAGAAUGCUAAUACCGCAUAACAUAUAUUUAUCGCAUGAUAGAUAUAUCAAAGAUUUAUCGCUCAGAGAUGGACUCGCGUCCGAUUAGUUAGUUGGUGAGGUAACGGCUCACCAAGACCGCGAUCGGUAGCCGGACUGAGAGGUUGAACGGCCACAUUGGGACUGAGACACGGCCCAGACUCCUACGGGAGGCAGCAGUGGGGGAUAUUGCGCAAUGGGGGAAACCCUGACGCAGCAACGCCGCGUGAAGGAUGAAGGUCUUCGGAUUGUAAACUUCUUUUAUUAAGGACGAAAAAUGACGGUACUUAAUGAAUAAGCUCCGGCUAAC
rnacentral:rRNA from 1 species